CCCACUGAACUUGGAUGGCCCGAACGAAAAGACUCCUCUACAACAGUCAGUCCACCACCAUCUUCUCCACAAAAAAACCAAACCACACACCUCGCGCAUUCUACGUCGGGCGGGCCGCCGCCCCUGCCCCCGACGUGCCGCCGUCCCUGCCUCCUGACCCCCCCGCCACGCGAGCCGGCCGCGCGGCCCCUCUCCCCCAACGCGCCACCACCUCCUCCUGAACUCGCCGCCGCUCACCGCCCCACACCAUCACGGCUGGCCGCCCCACCACCACCCCGCCUCACCAUGAAGGCUACCUCCCUGCACAUCACCCAUGCCUUCCGGUGCGCGACGACACACUGCCUGGCGUGCCGUCUCCCCCGUUGCUUCCUCGCCUCGGGUGCUGCUCCACCUUCCGGUCCUUGACGAGCCCCUGUGUAGAGGCUUCCUCCUACUCCUUCUCUCAGAACGCUCGAGACACAGCAGCUCCCAGGCCGUUCACCGUCGGCACCAUAGUCCGUUCACCACCGACACCCAAGGCCGUUCACCGACGCAACGAUGAGAUUUGGCCAUUGUCACCCACGACCGCACACUCGUAUCUCUCCAGCUUCAAGUAGUGUCCUCCUCUAGCUGCAUGUCACGUUCUCCUCCAGCUGCAGGCUAAUGCUAUGGUGCACAUUCAAGGCAGCAAGCAAACCACAGGUCGCAGCGCCGCCGUUGACCACAUGUGCGCAUGCAUGCGAUUGAUGCGUGUGUGCUUUAGGUAUGCAUCUCAAUGCCUCCUCCCUUCCUCUUUUCAUGUAGCAUAUUUUGAAAAAAUUAGACGCUUUCAACUGAAUAAAAAAUGUGUCACACAAGUUUAGGUAUAAGUGCGGCAGGACUAUAGAAAUCUGAACAAACAAAGCUCAAACCAAAAGCUAAUGUACGUGUGAUGUCCAGUUUCUUCCUUCGGUUCAGUUCAAUUUAAUCCGUUCAAUAUGUGCAAUUUAAUGGAUGAGUGUUAUCUAGAUCCUUUUAAUCUGAAGGUAGUUGCACCACUAAGGAAAGUAAAAAAAAACCAGUAUUUUCUAUAGACAAGAAAUGGGCAUUUGGCUCAGUAAUCGUCCAUUACUAGAGGUAUUGUCACUUGACCAUUUUCCAGAACUAGUUUCAAUUCAUGGACUACCGGCACUUGCAAAAUCAAAGAGGCUGACCAUACCAAAGUGCCCAAAGUUGAAGCAAAGGAGAUGAGAUGCUACAAAAAAGGUACACAUGCUAACAUUAGUUUUAUCUUCCAGCCUUUACUCUGCUCUUGUCUGAAGUUUUUGAAAGCAAAUCAUUAACUUGAAACUCCCCACCUCUUCAACGGGUCUAGCCAUAGCUGCAGGCAGCAGAGGAUAAAAAAUGCAUGGAUUAAUUGGAACAAAUCACACAUAGGCUAUGGGCUACAGAUCACACACACAUAUUAGCAAAAUGUGCUAUAGAUUAGAUUGAUUGAUACUCCCUCCGUAAACUAAUAUAAGAGUGUUUAGAUCACUAUUUUAGUGAUCUAAACGCUCUUAUAUUAGUUUACAGAGGGAGUACCUCCUAGUGUAGUAUUUCUGUAACUGUAUUUGGUCUGCACUUAUAGGAUUUAGGGAAGUACUGCAAAAAUGUCUUGCAUUUAGUUACAGAGGUAGUAUCUGAUAAACAUCAUCAGUUCUCAUAUAAAAAAAGUGUCUAAGUCCACCUUGCAAAACAACAUCAGUUCUGUACAAAACAACAAUCUCUCACACAGUACAACAACUUGUUGUUACUUCUAUGGAGGCACUGACCUCGUAAUUUUUUUGGACCAACCACGGACUUGAGAAUUAGACAUGGUGCUCACUAUAUUCUCUCAACCUUGAUUGUCUUGCAGUGCUUAUAAGCUUAAUUGUGAAUAGAACUCUUUAUUUCUUGUUUUUUAUACUCAGAAGAAACCUUGUGAAUGUUCAGAUCAGGGAAACAGGAGGGCUCACCAACAAAAGCCACUAAAAAGUAUAGAAAUUUAUAGGGGUGGGUGAAGUACAAGAAUACAAAAAGUUAAGAGUUGAGAAAUCAAAAAAGUUCAAAGGCCUCUUCCAUUCACAAACACACGCCUCUGGCUACUUGAGAUGCGCUGGCGUCAUCGCCCAUCCGAAAAUCGCAGUGCCUAUCGAGCUGCUUUGUCAAAAGCUUGCAUCGAUAGUUAACCCGGUACUAUUACUGUUACCUUCUAUUAUACAAAAUUUAGAGCUUCAGUCCAACUAUGUUGCUUCUGCGAUUAUCCAUACGUAGAAAAUUACACUAAACAUUGUUUUGUUCUCUAAACCUAAACACAUUUUUUCUUUGAGCUUAAAUGCAUUUUUUUCUCUGAACAUAAAUGGGAUAGUUCUCUGAACUUAAGUGUGUGUGUUCUAUGUGUAUUCUGUGAGUGUUAGAGAACAAUGAGUGUUGCCUGUCAACUACUGGUUUGGCCAGUUUCAAAUUUUGGCCUGGUUGAACUUUUGAUAGAGCAUCGGUCUAGUGCACUCAAAGCAUAAAGAGGGUUUGACCUGUUAUUGAUGGAUCACUAUAACUUAACUUAUCAUGUCAGUUCUAGUGCGACACUAGCUAAGGUACAAAUGUACUGAAUGUUCACACCUUUAAUCUUUUAAUUUUGUGAACAAACAUCAAUUCCGUAUGAAAAAGAAACAUAAUAAGUCAACUUUGCAAGUGCAUCAGUUCACCUUGAAUAAAAUACAGAAGUGCACCAUCAAAUUUUCCAUCAGUUCGCUUAUAAAAAAACAGAAAGUUGGUUGUGUAAAGAAAACCGGAGAAUCAAUGUCAGCCUAGAAGUUCACUAGGGAACUCCAAUCAAGUGCACUUGUUAGAAAAAUUUUGGUUUACUAUAUUUUAUAGACUGCAGAAAUUUUGAACUUACUAUUUUGAAAUUUUAGUUGUCAUUAUGCAAAGUUGUACAUUGGACUAAAAAUUGCCUUUUUUGAUCUUUUGUUCUGAACCUUUUUUCUGAACUUACUAUACUGUUUGUGUACAUUAUCCUCUCGUUAGUUUUGUGAUUUUAGACAAAGUUUCAGCCUUCGAGCAAUAGCUCGUCCACCACGGGUGCUUGCAGCCGUCCAGGUCCAAGUCGAGGGUUGACGCGAUUCCAAGUAGAAUCGCACCCACCAUCUUCACUAGCACUGUGCAACCGCCAAGUCGAGCACACACACACAAGGAAAAAAGUGAAAGUACAUGUUUUGAAAAUUUAUUGUUGGCAUGAUUCUUGAAUUGGGGACUGGAGUUCAAGUAUUAAAUCCAGGCAAGUUCAAAAAUUAAACCACAACAAGUUCUUGUUUAUUUAGCAAUAUUAAGUUGACUGUGCAAAAAUCAGUGGUUUAAAUAUGAAAGAAGAAUGUAAAAGGUCCAACAUGCGCAUGUUGCCAGUGCCCCUAGUAGGCCUCUACCUCCGGCUGCCAGUGCAGCUCACGGCUACCUGUACUCCUCCAACAUGUGCACGGUUGCUGCUCUCCUCUGCUUUCUCUCUCUCUCUCUUGCAUGAUGUUGUUGCUCCUCUCAAAUCUCUCUAGCUCUAUUAAUUCAUGAUGCUGCCUCAUCUCUGAAUUGUUGUGGUGACGCUAAGGUUUUGUUGUCACCCACAGGAUCCCCUGCCUCCAUGUCCAUAUUCAGAUGUGCUGCAAGUUCAAUUGUUUCAGUUCGAGCGGGUGCACAAAACACAAUGUGUAGUCCGUACUGUCCACAUGUGCUGCAAGUUCAAUUGUUUCAGUUCGAGCAUUUGCUACCCUAGUCAUUUGUUUGUUGCUAAAAUGUUGGAGUCGUACUUCUCAUUCUUGCAUGAAUUUUUAUAUACCAUCGUGUUUAUUUCUAAAUGCCAACCACUUUUUUUUGCCGUCAGGUGUUUGCUUAAAUGCCUAAACAAAGAUCUAUUUUAGUUCAGUGCAAAUCUUCUUAUAAGUUCAGUACAAUUUCUUAUUUUAGUGUGAGCAAUCCUUCAAAUGUCUUGCCUUAUAUUACUGCUCAUCCAUCAUAUCUUUGUGUACUCUUUCUUGAUGUCAGUACACAGAACAAAAAAAAAUUACGUCAAAUUGACAAUUUUUAAUCUCUUCUAUGUUAGUAUAGGCUACAUGUAUACAACAUUUAAUCUGUAGUAGUAGUAGCAGUUUUGCUAUGUAAAGGAGCAGCGGAACUCCAGUAAUUUGUGAGAAUAUCACAUUGGAUACAUGAGUGCAGGAUUAAUACAUUGUUAAUUAUUGCAGGUAGGUCAGACCUUAGAAGCCACUUGCAGCCGCACUUGCCAGCACCCGUGACGAGCCACCCCACCGGCCCCCAAGGCGCGCCAUCCCACAGUCCGCUGGGCAUGGCGUCCUCCUGAAAUAAAAUAAAUGCGCCAUGCUCAAUCCAACCCUGUGGCUUCUGGUGGCCGAGUUCGUCACGACCAUCAGUUCGGAGACCUGCGUCACUGCCCGUGACGCUACAAUGGCCACCUGCAUCACUGCGUGCUCCGUCAACAGCCUCCUGCACAAGGCAACAGGAGUAGAGACGUCUGAGAUGCUCUGUUCUAGCGAGGUGGCUAAUUAUGUUUGUCAGUUUGAAAUACUUUGGCCACAGUGUACUUAUGUAUCUUUUUCUGGCCGGAGCACAAUCGGAGCUUAUGUCAGUACGAACUUUGAUUGUGAUGGUACUACAGACUCUAUAAAAACACCAGCAAUCCAUUUUUACUGGUACCUUUUAUAUGAUUCA